CAACCUUAACUUAGUUUUUCAUAUAGAAACCUCUAGAGAGAAGAUGAACAAAGAGGAAGCAGCAAUACCACUGCUUCUAACAAGGAGAGAAGAAGAAGAAAAAGAGGUGAACAAGAAUAGUAAUAAUAAUAAUAAUAAUAAUGGGGUGGUGGAGAGUGCAUUAUUUUGGCAAGAGUUAAAGAGGGUAGGAUCCAUGGCUGCUCCAAUGGUGGCUGUGACUGUGUCUCAGUACCUUCUACAAGUUGUGUCUAUGAUGAUGGUUGGCCAUCUUGGUGUACUUGUAACCUUCUCUGGUGUUGCCAUUGCUACUUCUUUUGCUGAAGUUACUGGCUUCAGUAUCCUUAUAGGGAUGGCUGGUGCAUUAGAAACCUUAUGUGGCCAAACCUAUGGUGCUGAAGAAUUCAGAAGUCUUGGAAACUACACUUGUUGUGCAAUUGGUACUCUAACUCUGGUUUGUCUCCCCAUAUCUUUGAUAUGGAUAUUCAUGGACAAGAUACUAUUGCUUUUUGGCCAAGACCCCGCGAUUUCCCUCGCGGCUCGCGAGUACUGUAUAUGCCUAAUCCCAGCGCUGUAUGGCUACGCCAUCCUUCAAGCCAUGACUCGAUACUUCCAGACUCAGAGUAUGAUCUAUCCCAUGGUUUUCAGCUCUGUCGCGGCUCUGUGUUUUCAUGUACCUAUUUGUUGGGGUCUGGUGUUUAAAUUUGGACUAGGACACAUUGGAGCAGCAUUUGCUAUUGCAAUUUCAUAUUGGUUGAAUGCCAUUGGCCUUGUUGUUUACAUGAAGUGUUCAUCAUCAUGUGAGAAAUCCAAGAUUGUGUUUUCUAGUAAUGCUUUAAAAUGCAUUUCUGAGUUCUUGCAAUAUGCUAUCCCUUCUGGACUCAUGUUUUGUUUUGAAUGGUGGUCAUUUGAGCUUCUUACAUUAUUUGCUGGUCUCCUACCUAAUCCUCAACUAGAAACCUCAAUUCUUUCGGUCUGCCUUAACACUACUACAUUGCACUUCUUCAUUCCUUAUGCUAUUGGAGCUUCUGCAAGCACUCGCGUGUCGAAUGAAUUAGGAGCAGGGAAUCCGAAGGCGGCUAAAGGAAUCAUUCGUGUGAUUGUUACAGUUGCAGUUACAGAGGCAGUUAUUGGGUUGCAAGAGGUGGAGGAUUUCAACAAAUAGGAGCUUAUGUGAACCUUGGAGGCUAUUAUCUUGUUGGAGCUCCAUUUGCAUUGUUCUUGGGAUUUGGCCUAAAACUCAAUGCUAAGGGACUCUGGAUGGGAACUUUAUCUGGCUCUUGUCUAGUAGUAAUUAUACUUGCUAUUGUAACAGCAUUAACAGAUUGGGAAAAAGAGGCAACAAAAGCAAGAGAGAGAAUAGCAGAGAACUCAAUUAAAGGUGGUGAUGUAUCUGUAUCAGUAUGAGAUCAGAAAAGAAAUACUGAAAUUUUGAUGUCAAUUUUUUUGGUUUUUGCUAUUUAUUUUUAUUUUUUGGUAAUUUUUUUAUGUGACUGGAGAUUGGAGAAGUGUACUCUAAUUAUGUUAACAGAAAAAUGGGAAGCUUUAUCUGUAUAUAUGAAUUUUGGACUGGAAUUGAGCCUGUGCCAGAUUAAUGUAAGCAUGUAACAGAUCCCAGAAUUGA